GCCCCAGUAACGGCGAGUGAAGCGGCAACAGCUCAGAUUUGAAAUCUGGCCCCUACGGGGUCCGAGUUGUAAUCUGUAGAGGAUGCUUUUGGCGACGCGCCUUCCGAGUCCCCUGGAACGGGGCGCCAGAGAGGGUGAGAGCCCCGUACGGUCGGACGCCGAACCUUUGUAAAGCUCCUUCGACGAGUCGAGUAGUUUGGGAAUGCUGCUCAAAAUGGGAGGUAAAUUUCUUCUAAAGCUAAAUACCGGCCAGAGACCGAUAGCGCACAAGUAGAGUGAUCGAAAGAUGAAAAGCACUUUGAAAAGAGGGUUAAAUAGCACGUGAAAUUGCUGAAAGGGAAGCGCUUGUGACCAGACUUGCGCCCGGUUGAUCAUCCAGCGUUCUCGCUGGUGCACUCUGCCGGGCUCAGGCCAGCAUCGGCUCCUCCAGGGGGAUAAAGGUCGCGGGAACGUAGCUCUCUCCGGGGAGUGUUAUAGCCCGCGGCGGAAUACCCUUAGGGGGGGUCGAGGCCCGCGUUCGCAAGGAUGCUGGCGUAAUGGUCACCAGCGACCCGUCUUGAAACACGGACCAAGGAGUCAAGCAUUAGGGCGAGUCUUUGGGUGUAAAACCCGCAGGCGCAAUGAAAGUGAACGUAGGUGAGAGCUUCGGCGCAUCAUCGACCGAUCCUGAUGUUCUCGGAUGGAUUUGAGUAAGAGCCUUACCGCUUGGACCCGAAAGAUGGUGAACUAUGCCUGAAUAGGGUGAAGCCAGAGGAAACUCUGGUGGAGGCUCGCAGCGGUUCUGACGUGCAAAUCGAUCGUCAAAUUUGGGCAUGGGGGCGAAAGACUAAUCGAACCAUCUAGUAGCUGGUUACCGCCGAAGUUUCCCUCAGGAUAGCAGUGUUGUCUUCAGUUUUAUGAGGUAAAGCGAAUGAUUAGGGACUCGGGGGCGCUUAUUUGCCUUCAUCCAUUCUCAAACUUUAAAUAUGUAAGAAGCCCUUGUUACUUAGUUGAACGUGGGCGUUCGAAUGUACCAACACUAGUGGGCCAUUUUUGGUAAGCAGAACUGGCGAUGCGGGAUGAACCGAACGCGGAGUUAAGGUGCCAGAGUGGACGCUCAUCAGACACCACAAAAGGCGUUGAUACAUCUUGACAGCAGGACGGUGGCCAUGGAAGUCGGAAUCCGCUAAGGACUGUGUAACAACUCACCUGCCGAAUGUAUCAGCCCUGAAAAUGGAUGGCGCUCAAGCGUCCCACCCAUACUCCGCCCUCAGGGUAGAAACGACGCCCUGAGGAGUAGGCGGCCGUGGGGAUGGUGACGAA
rnacentral:rRNA from 1 species